rnacentral:sRNA from 1 species
AAAAUAGACACGAUUGCAUUGCAUGUAGUAACGGAUGCUAUCAUAACAGCACUAAUGCCCCGGAUCCCAUCAGAACUCUACAGUUAAGCGUGCUUGGGCGAGAGUUGUACUAGGAUGGGUGACCUCCAGGAAAGUCCUCGUGUUGCAUCCCUCUUUUUUUCUCGGUUUUUCUCUUUUUUGUUUUGUUAAAAGUAUAUGACUCUAUAACUUUUAGACCGUGAGGCCAAACUUGGCAUGUGAUACCUUUUCGGAAAGCCCAAAGAGAGCUCUCCAUUUAAUGAGGAAGGAAAAUGGAAUUCUUUUAUUGUUUUUUUUCUACUCCAAAUUUUGACCUUAAUGUACUUUUUCAUGCCUUUUCGUGAUCUUUGCUAUAUUACGGGGCGAAAAUUUUAUGUUCAGACAUUGUUUUUGAAUAUUUUGCAUGUAUCAAAACUCUUAUAAACAAGAUAGGGUAUUUCUACAUAGCUAGUGGUACCCACGGCAAAUGGAUCAUAAAGUCUUCAAAAAAGAAUAGAUACGAUUGCAUUGCAUGUAGUAACGGAUGCGAUCAUACCAGCAUUAAUGCACCGGAUCCCAUCAGAACUCUACAGUUAAGCGUGCUUGGGUGAGAGUAGUACUAGGAUGGGUGACCUCUCGGAAAGUCCUCGUGUUGCAUCCCUCUUUUUUUU